GAUGAAGAACGCAGCGAAAUGCGAUAAGUAAUGUGAAUUGCAGAAUUCAGUGAAUCAUCGAAUCUUUGAACGCACAUUGCGCCCGCCAGUAUUCUGGCGGGCAUGCCUGUUCGAGCGUCAUUGCUGCCCUCAAGCACGGCUUGUGUGUUGGGCCCCGUCCUCCGAUCCCGGGGGACGGGCCCGAAAGGCAGCGGCGGCACCGCGUCCGGUCCUCGAGCGUAUGGGGCUUUGUCACCCGCUCUGUAGGCCCGGCCGGCGCUUGCCGAUCAACCCAAAUUUUUAUCCAGGUUGACCUCGGAUCAGGUAGGGAUACCCGCUGAACUUAAGCAUAUCAAUAAGCGGAGGA
rnacentral:misc_RNA from 1 species